AAGAAGAAGAAAGAAGAAGAAGAAGAAGAAGAAGAAGAAGAAGAAGAAGAAGAAGAAAGAAGAAGAAGAAGAAGAAGAAGAAGAAGAAGAAGAAGAAGAAGAAGAAGAAGAAGGAGAAUGAACUCAGUUGUAACUGAUGUGGUGUGCUUUCUGGGGAGAUCCUUCGAUACCCAGGAGAGGGAAGACUCUGCAACGCUUAGAGUAAACUUGGUCUAUAAAAGUAUACUUGAAAUACAUAAAAGUAAUUCCCACUGUGGCUUUCAUCUACCUAAUAAGAGACAAAGGUCCAUAAGCUCCCAAAGGUCUCACAAAUUCGUCCUUGUCAUCCACGGAAGCUCUGGAGUGUUCUGGCCGGCCUGCUGUCGGCUGCCCACAGCCCUGCGCUUAGGGAAUUUUGGCCUGUGUAGCCGGCGCUGGCCAGAUUCAUGCAAGCUCAGGCCGGGAAAACACAGAGCCAGAUGCUUGCAAACCGUCAUUCUCCUGUUUGGGCUCCAGGAGCUGGGGACGCACCUCGGAGGAAGCCUGCAAGAAAAAUACUGACGGUCUGCUGCAAUGUCCUUUCCCUGGAGGUGUUAUGAGCUUGUUCCUGGACCCUCUUCCCGCCAAAGGACCCUAAAUCCAGCAUUUCACAGCAUCGCCUGAUUUAACCCGCUAGCAAGUGCAGACAAAGGAACCGUUGUUUUACAGAGGAGAAAGCCAAGGCUUAGAGAGGUUAGGUAAGUUGUUCACGGCCACAGAGCUAGUGAAUAGGGGGCAGCAGCCUGUGUGCCUAUCCUCUACUAAGUCAACAAGAACCGUGGUACCGCACAUCUUGGUGUGUCACGUUCGGAGGAAGAAGGGAUGGCCUGAGAGGUCUCCAAGGGCAGAACCAGAGUGGGGUUUGGAUGCUGCACUGGCCGCUGAAGGGGCUUCUGGUGGCCGCCAGAGGGCGCUCUGCCCACACAUUAGAGGCUGAAUCCGGCUAACCCCAAGGGCUGCAAAUUGUUAGAGAGAAACAACAGAUUCACUUUAGCAGAGGGCAUUUGUAUAAAUUCCAUUAAGGAUCUUACAAUAAAGGGAGCUGAAUUAGAAUUGCUGAGAAACUCUGCUGGGGAAAUCACUGCUUGGGGCUGUCGUGUGGUGGGUUUCAGAGAAUCCGAGCUGGGGAGCUGGUUACUGAAGGAGAAGGACCAUCACGCUGUCCCUCAGGAUGCCAUGAUGUGAGCAGCUUUACAUCCACUGUGCCCCUCUGCGAUGCCAUUUCUACCUUGAUGCCUGCUGAUAAUACUCUGAAUCCUCUGAAAACUGUGAACCAAAAAUAAACGUCUCCUCCUUGAAGUUGUGGGUUUUGGGCAUUGUGUCUCUGUGAUGAGAAAGGUGACUGAGACAUUAUCACAAUAUGGCAACAAACUGGGAACACUCAUAAAUAUUUUGGAAUCUUUUUCCUACAACUCUGCAAAGGACACAGUUUGGUCCUACUCCCUUGUGUGAUAAGCAUUUGGGAGGUUGGUAUGUUUGCAUGAAGUCACAAAUGUGGAGCCUUCAUGAUGGGCUUCAGGCUCUUCUGAGAAGAGGCACCCGUGAAUUUACUCUCCUCCUUUCUCUCUGCCAUGUGAGGACACAGCAAUGAAGUAAUCAUCUGCAAGCCAGAAAAAGAGUCCGCAACAGUACUAAAGCAUGUGGGUACCUCUAUCAAGAACUUUAAACUUCCACAACUGAAAAAAAGGGGAUUUCUAUUGUCUAAGCUUCUUAGUAUGUGACAUUUUGUGGCUAUAUAUAUAUACAUAUAUAUCCAUACAGAAUAAGUAAUAAGAUUAACUGAAAAAAGUUUCAAUGAAUACAGGUAAAAUUACUUACUUUGAAGGACUUAUAACGUUCAUCAUUUAACACAGCAUUAACUUCAGAACUUUCUCCAUCUUCAAUAAUUUCCUAUGUAGGUGGUUGAAAAAUAUUUCAAAUUAGUGACAUUGGAGAAUUCUAACCUGAGACUAUCAAAUUUAUAGAUCUAGUAGUUUGAUUUCUUAUGAAUUGCAUAUCCAUUGCCUGCAGAAUGUUUUCCUACCUAAUUUAGAGAAAAUAAGAAUUUCCCUAUAAUUUAAAGUCCUAGGUCAUCAUAUGAUUAAUGACCCCUUUAUAAUCUUCAGGGGCAAGAAUGCAGAAUGAUUAGGGCACAAAUCUACAGAACCCCCAUACAAAAAAUAUUCACUGGCAAAUGUGUGCCCAAAUAGUUCUGAUAAUUUUCUUUUCAAUGAUUGUUCUCUGUUUGAAAUAAGAGAACAUUUCCACUGAGCAAGUUAUCUUGAGAUCUUCUAAAAAGUUACUCUACAUUAGGUCCUUAGGAUGUUUACCAGAUAGAAUUUCCCUUGAAUAAUGUACCUUGGCCUUGAAUACUAAGAUUACUAUCAGAUUACCAACUUGUCUUGCUGGGGAGUCUUAACCAUAAUUAAGGUACAUAAAAUCACUUUAGCUAUCUUUCUGGAACACACAGAAAUGCAAAAUCAAUGUCAUUUAAUGUCACACCCAACACUCUUCUGGAGGGGAUAAACCCCGAGCAGAACUGUGCUCUUCCCUAAAACCUGUUUUGGAAAUCAGCCUUUCCCCUGCUGCAGAGUUCUCAGGCCACUUGAGCCUUUCUUUCUCUUUAGGCAGAAGCGGUAUGGGAGAGACGGGAGAGCUCUUCUAGUUCCACUAGGUGGCCUCAUGCAGCAUGCAGCUUUAGGUGUGGUAAUGCUAGGGUAUGGAUUAUACAUAUCUCAGGUAGAUGGGGGGAGAGUGGGAGAGACACAGAGAGAGAUACUGUGUAGAUGUGGAGACUGGGAGAUACAGACAGAGAGAAUAAGUUGUGAAUACCAUAUCUACACAGCUGACAGGAAGAUGUGUUAUUAGCUCCCUCCUCCUCCCCAUUCCGCCUUACCUCUAUAAUACACUUCACCCUGUCUCCCAGGCAGGGAAUGCCCUCUGUGUCCUUCAUACUGAUGAUGGUGAAUGGCAGAGAUUUCAGUACGGAGGCUGCUCUAAUAUAUGUCACAUAAGAGUCUUCAUUCUCUUUAAACUCACAAUUUUCAGCCAGUAUCUCAAAGGCAUUCUGCAGAAUCAAACCAGAUAGACAAAAGUCCUUGAAAUAGUGUCAUUCAAAAAUGCCUCUUGUAUUCUUUUACAUUUCGGACAGUUUCCUUGAAGGUCAAGAUUGAGCCUCCUGUUCCCCUGUACCUUCCCGUGUGAGAUCAAGGGAGCUGCACUGAAACAACAGGCACCAAAUGCAUUCUAAGGAAACUGAGUUCUGUGCUGUUAGAUAUUCCAGAAUAAUUAGCCAAAAAAGACACCUUUGCUCACCAUAUCCCACUAGUCACACUUGGCAUAACCUCUCCCGCUGCUGUGUGCCUCACUGACCUGUGGUUAGGGCUCUGCUGUUAUCACUAGAUAUCCUUGUCUCUUUCAGUAUGACCAGCACUUAAAUUGAAUGAGUGGAUAUGCUCCUGGGUCACACCACCUUAGAGCUUGGGUUAUUUAAGGUGGGGCAUGUUUACACUGCUGCCAGAAGAGCUAGCAGCUGCAACUUUGGGACACCAUGCUCAGGAGCCCAAAAGCUUCAGAUUCCUGGUCUUCCUCACAGGUAUGGGCCUGGAAGUCUAGAAGUGAGAAGUUUGAUACACUACUGCAUUUUUUAUCUAGGUUAGAACAUAGCACUUAUGGUUUGCAUAGCAUUGACUGCUAGUAUAGCAUUUAUGGUUUGUUCAGCUCAUCUGAAAAAUUUGGGGGCUGGAUAAGGCUUUAGAGAUAAUCAGGCUCAUUUCUUAUUGCACAGAUGAGGUAACUGAGGCUAGGAGAGAGGAACUGACUUGCCCAGGUUAGCUAAUGUCAGGUAAAAAUGUACAUCCGCAGACUCUUCAUCUUUUGGCUUCCUGCAAAGGCUGGUGAUACGUUAUUGAUAUUUCCAUGUAAUUUACUCUAACUAUGUUUUGGAGUAAUUACAAAAUUUGAUUUUUAAGAAUAUUUGCCUUUGAUAAGUAUGUAUCCAUUGACAACUUUCAGUAAUCAAGACCCUAAAGAAUACAGCUCAAAUGUAUUCUUUCAUUUCCAUGGAAGAAAAAGACCUAUUCUUGUCAGAAAGGAGAAAUCUUUUCCAGAUUUCCAGAAAAAUCAUGAUUUAGUUUAUAGAUGCAGAGAAAACACUUGCACACCCUUCCUCUGCUCCAGGUGCUGAAGCAAAGCCUUGUUACCGUGAAUGCGUAGUUGCAGUUGUUUAAUGUGGUUCUCCUCUGACACGCGUACUCAGAGAUCCUCUGCACAGAGCGUGAUGGAGUCUUCUGGGCAUCUGGGUUGGGGCUAGCUGGACUGCCUCUUCUUACCUAGACAAGAGCACACUCAUCUAUUUUAAAGAACAAUGGUAAUAAUAGUGCGUAUAUAGAGAGAAAAUAAUUGGAGACUGUUUGAUGGUGGUUGUCUCUGGAGGAAGAAUAAAAUUACCAGAGACUCAAAUUUCAUGCUAUAUACACUUCUAAUAUUUGUAUUUGAUAUCAUUACUGUGCAUUGUUUGUGAAAUCAGAAAAUAAAACCAUGACAAAGAACCAA